CCUACGGGGCGCACCAGGCGCGAAACCUUCGCAAUGUGCGAAAGCACGACGAGGUUAUUCCGAGUGAUUUCCGCUGAGGAAAUCUUUUCUCAGAUCUAAAAAGUCUGGGGAAUAAGGGGAGGGCAAGUCUGGUGUCAGCCGCCGCGGUAAUACCAGCUCCUCGAGUGGUCAGGGCGUUUAUUGGGCCUAAAGCAUCCGUAGCCGGCUCAGUUGGUCUCCUGUUAAAUCCAGCGGCUCAACCGUUGGUCUGCAGGAGAUACCGCUGGGCUAGGAGGCGGGAGAGGCGGACGGUACUCCGAGGGUAGGGGUAAAAUCCUUUGAUCCCCGGAAGACCACCAGUGGCGAAGGCGGUCCGCCAGAACGCGCUCGACGGUGAGGGAUGAAAGCUGGGGGAGCGAACCGGAUUAGAUACCCGGGUAGUCCCAGCCGUAAACGAUGCGAGCUAGGUGACACAACGCCUUCGGGGCGUUGUGGUGCCGCAGGGAAGCCGUUAAGCUCGCCGCCUGGGGAGUACGGACGCAAGUCUGAAACUUAAAGGAAUUGGCGGGGGAGCACCACAAGGGGUGAAGCCUGCGGUUCAAUUGGAGUCAACGCCGGGAAUCUUACCGGGAGCGACAGCAGAUUGAAGGUCAAGCUGAAGACUUUACCAGACGAGCUGAGAGGAGGUGCAUGGGCCGUCGCCAGCUCGUGCCGUGAGGCGUCCUGUUAAGUCAGGCAACGAGCGAGACCCCUACUUCUAAUUGCUUUAACAGACAUCGCAAGGUGUUUGUGGCCUAGG
rnacentral:rRNA from 1 species